rnacentral:rRNA from 1 species
AUUGAACGCUGGCGGCAUGCUUUACACAUGCAAGUCGAACGGUAACAGGCCGCAAGGUGCUGACGAGUGGCGAACGGGUGAGUAAUGCAUCGGAACGUGCCCAGUCGUGGGGGAUAACGCAGCGAAAGCUGUGCUAAUGCCGCAUACGAUCUAUGGAUGAAAGCGGGGGACCGUAAGGCCUCGCGCGAUUGGAGCGGCCGAUGUCAGAUUAGGUAGUUGGUGGGGUAAAGGCCUACCAAGCCAACGAUCUGUAGCUGGUCUGAGAGGACGACCAGCCACACUGGGACUGAGACACGGCCCAGACUCCUACGGGAGGCAGCAGUGGGGAAUUUUGGACAAUGGGCGCAAGCCUGAUCCAGCAAUGCCGCGUGCAGGAAGAAGGCCUUCGGGUUGUAAACUGCUUUUGUACGGAACGAAACGGUCUGGGUUAAUACCCUGGACUAAUGACGGUACCGUAAGAAUAAGCACCGGCUAACUACGUGCCAGCAGCCGCGGUAAUAC